rnacentral:rRNA from 1 species
CCUACGGGAGGCAGCAGUGGGGAAUAUUGGACAAUGGGGGAAACCCUGAUGCAGCGACGCAGCGUGAGUGAAGAAGUAUUUCGGUAUGUAAAGCUCUAUCAGCAGGGAAGAAAAUGACGGUACCUGACCAAGAAGCUACGGAUAACUACGUGCCAGCAGCCGCGGUAAUACGUAGGAGGCAAGGGUUAUCCGGAUUUACUGGGUGUAAAGGGAGCGUAGACGGCCGGACAAGUAAGAAGUGAAAGCCCAGGGCUCAACCCUGGGACUGCUUUUGAAACUGCCGGGCUUGAGUGCAGUAGAGGUAAGCGGAAUUCCUUGUGUAGCGGUGAAAUGCGUAGAUAUUAGGAGGAACUCCAGUGGCGAAGGCGGCUUACUGGACUGUAACUGACGUUGAGGCUCGAAAGCGUGGGGAGCAAACAGGAUUAGAUACCCCUGUAGUC